GUAUUCGCUUUGGCAGCAUGUAUGUUAAAUUGAAAUGAUACAGAGAAGAUUAGCAUGGCCCCUGCACAAGGAUAACUUGAACAUUUAUAAAGUGUUCCUUAUAGCU
ensembl:snRNA U6 U6 spliceosomal RNA